CCGGUGCUGGUGCUGGUGCUGGUGCUGGCGGCCGCGGGCCAGGCGCGCGCCUGGGAGAGCGGGGACCUGGAGCUGUUCGACCUAGUGGAGGAGGUGCAGAUCAACUUCUACCAGUUCCUCGGGGUGCAGCAGGAUGCUUCGUCUGCAGACAUCAGAAAAGCAUACCGUAAGCUCUCGCUAACCUUGCAUCCAGACAAGAAUAAAGAUGAAAACGCAGAAACUCAGUUUAGACAAGUAUGACGAUGUUCUGGUCAACGGCCUCCCCGACUGGCGGCAGCCCGUCUUCUACUACAGGCGGGUGAGGAAGAUGAGCAACGCCGAGCUGGCCUUCCUGGUGUUCGUGAUCCUCACCGUGGGCCACUACGCCGUGGUCUGGUCCAUCUACCUGGAGAAGCAGCUGGAUGAGCUGCUUAGCAGAAAAAAGAGAGAAAAGAAAAAAAAGACAGGCGGUAAGAGUAUGGAUCCAUCAAAGCUGGGUGCUUCUGAAAAAAAUGAGAGAUUACUGAUGAAACCACAAUGGCAGGAUUUGCUUCCAUGCAAGCUUGGAAUUUGGUUUUGCCUUACACUAAAAGCAUUGCCUCAUCUAAUCCAGGAUGCUGGGCAAUUUUAUGCUAAAUAUAAAGAAACAAAAUUGAAGGAAAAGGAAGACGCGAUGAUUAGAGCUGAACUUGAAACACUUCAAAAACAGAAGAAAGUUAAAGUAAAAAAACCCAAACCUGAAUUUCCUGUAUACACGCCAUUAGAAAGUACGCAUAUUCAAUCUUAUGAUCAUGGAACUUCUAUAGAAGAAAUUGAGGAACAAAUGGAUGAUUGGCUGGAAGACAGGAACAGAACCCAGAAAAAACAGGCACCUGAAUGGACAGAAGACGACCUCAGCCAGCUGACGAGGAGUAUGGUGAAGUUCCCAGGAGGGACGCCAGGUCGAUGGGAAAAGAUUGCGCACGAGUUGGGUCGGUCCAUGACAGAGGUGACAGCCAAGGCCAAGCAGCUGAAGGACUCAGUCUCCUGCCCCCCGGGGAUGGUGAGACUCUCGGAGCUCAGGGCCACGGCACAGGUGCCCCGGCCCCCCAGGCCCGGCGUGGCCGUGCCUGAUGCCCUCGCCACUCAGCGGGAAGACGCCGGUGCUGGCGGGGACGAGGAGCGGGGUGAGCAGGGGGACGGCGAGCAGGGUGGGCCGCGCAGGCGGAAGCCGGCCAGGGCACCCGAGGCUGGGCUCCCGGCGGGGACGGAGGAACGGGCCCGGGGCCGGCGCCAGCGGGACUUCGAGGAGCCGGGGCAGGACGAGCCCAGUGACGAGGAGAGCCAGAGGCAGGCGUGCACACGGGCCGCCGAGGGGCCGUGGACUCAGAACCAGCAGAAGCUUCUAGAGCUAGCGCUGCAGCAGUACCCAAAGGGAUCCUCAGACCGCUGGGACAAAAUCGCCAUGUGUGUGCCCUCCAAGAGGAAGGUGAGUGGCCCUUUCACUAGCUGGGCGUGCCCACGAGGGCGAGUUCUCGGGCCGCUGCUGGAGAGCGUCCGCUCGUGGGCCCUGGCCCAGCUGCCCUCCAGCCUUUGGGGGCUCAUUCCUUAGGUGGCAUUGGAGAGAAGCCCCGGGGUCCUGGGCCUCCCCUCGCGGGCCCACCGUGGGGACUGGGCUGUCCACUGGGUCUGGCUCCCAGUGGCCCCGGAGGGGAAGGGCGGCUGUGUCACCGGGGCCCCCGUCAGCGCCGUGGCCUGAGUGUGUCCUGUCUCAGUGCUCCGGGAGCAGCAGCUCUGGUCAUGGGGGUGGCAUUCCCGCUGCUUGGCGCGUCCUCCCCGUCAGCUCUUGGGUUGCAUAGAUGCAGCCGGGGUGGUCCCCCCCAAAGCUUGGCCCUGGGUGGCCCCUCCCGGUCCCCCCGGGCCUCUCUCCUCGGGUCCGAAGCACUGGGGACCCUCCGGGGGGCACGUGCCAGCUCACUCCCAUCUUUCUGAUGCUCUGGCUCCAUAGCCAGGCUGCCUGAGGGUCGGGGUGUUACCUGCCACCUCGUUGGGAGCCCCAGGGAGAAAAAGAAGCCUUCAGCAGCUGAUCCGUUUGGGAAGUGCACCCCCACCCCCACCCCCCGCCUCUGUGGCAGAUUUGCAGAAAUCACGCUCUGCCCGGCUGCUUCGGCCUGUCGGCUCGCGGGCGCUGUGUGCCAUGCCCGGGCCUAGAAUGGAGGGGCCGGGCUGCGGGACCCAGGGGACGGGGACCCCCCCAGCUCAGCCAGGGCCAGGGUCCCCGGUGACGCCCCAGUGGCCUCCGCGGCCUUGGGCCCUCAGGAAAGCUGCAUGUUCAGAGGCUCGAGGCAGCCGUGUCCCGGCGGAAGAGGUGCCCGUCGGCAGGUGCGCCCCGGGCCUAGGGACAGCUGACCGUGCGUCCCCGGUCCCAGGCCGUGGGGAAAGUGGCCUCCACAGGUCAGAUGUCAGUUUUCCCGGCGCGUCCUCAGUGCAGGCUGAGGGUGCUGUUGGCCUCGGAAGUUUUUAACACGCAGAGCAGGUUCUGGAAAUUACCUUGAGAUACAGCAGGAGCUGAGGGACGCCACGGGGGCAGCUCCGGGCAGUAGGUGCGAGGCCAGGGGCUCUGCCCCGACCCUGCGGCUGGGCAGCCACGGCGGGAGGUUUCUCUGCAGCGACGUGAGCCGGGCGGACAGUGAGGUUCCGCGGUCACCACAGGAAGACUGCAUUGCCAGGUACAAGUUGCUGGUUGAGCUGGUCCAGAGGAAAAAACAAGCUAAGAGCUGAAUGUUCUGGAAGAUGGUGUCUAUUUGCCUUCAUUUUCCAAAAUGGAUGUUUUUAAAAAUCUUAUGCAGAAAUUUGCAUUUUGUACCUCAAUAUUUCUAUAUGUCAUGUGCCUUAGCAAAAAAAAAAAAACUAAAUAAAAAUGUGCUAACUUGUUUAAACAAACACUGUGCUAAGGGGACAAAGGGGGUUGUGUAUUUUGUAGAUUUAUUUCUCAUCCCUGCAGAGGUUACUUUCUUGGGGAAGGAACAAACUAAAUAAUGUGUUCUAAUGAGAAGACAUAUUCAGUUUUUUUUUCCUUAAAUUUUUUAUUUUGAAAUACUUUCAAACUUAGAGGAAAAUUGCAAAAAUAAUACAAACCCCAUUCAGAGAACUCUCUUGUCCCCUCCAGCAGAUCCCAAGAGCCACCACUUUUAACAUUCUGCCACAUUUGCUGUAUCUGUCUAGCUCUCCGCCCAUCUGUCCAUCCGGCGGCUGUUUGUCUGUUACUUGAACAUCGGGGAGCAGGUUGCACACAUCAUCUCCUUGAACACGGCACAUCCCUGUGCACUGCCCGGGAGAGCGCUCCCCGGUGCAGUUCCCACGCUCAGGGACCGGAGUGUCCAUCGACUGGAAGCUCAGUCUGUCCACUUUUCCCACAUGUCCCAAUAACGUCCCUUUAAGCCUUUUCGCGAUCCCACCCAGGAGCACGUGCCCUGGAGGGGAAUUUGGGGGCCCCGUGUGGCAUCGCCGCAGGCUGAGCCCCCUUUGUGCCGCCCGGACGCCCCUCAGGGUGGGCCUCGUCUCUGCUCCUCGCAGUGGGGGUGUGCGGGGGCACCCCGAGUCCUCUGUUGCCCACCCUGGCUGCGCCUCUCCGGAGCCCCCGACGCCCCGGGCUGGGCCAGAAAGGGCCUGAGCAGCCGCCGUCCGUGCUGGA